rnacentral:tRNA from 1 species
GGGUCGUUAGCCGGUAGAGCAGUUGGCUUUUAACCAAUUGGUCGUAGGUUCGAAUCCUACACGACCCACCA